rnacentral:rRNA from 1 species
AGAAUCAUUCACAAUGGGGGAAACCCUGAUGCAGCGACGCCGCGUGAGUGAAGAAGUAUCUCGGUACGUAAAGCCCUAUCAGCAGGGAAGAAAAAAAGCCUUUGGCCUUGGACGGUACCUGACUAAGAAGCCCCGGCUAACUACGUGCCAGCAGCCGCGGUAAUACGUAGGGGGCAAGCGUUAUCCGGAUUUACUGGGUGUAAAGGGAGCGUAGACGGCAGCGCAAGGCUGGAGUGAAAUGCCGGGGCUCAACCCCGGAACUGCGUUGGAAACUGUGCAGCUAGAGUGCGGGAGAGGUAAGCGGAAUUCCUAGUGUAGCGGUGAAAUGCGUAGAUAUUAGGAGGAACACCAGUGGCGAAGGCGGCUUGCUGGACCGUAACUGACGUUGAGGCUCGAAAGCGUGGGGAGCAA